ensembl:lncRNA
UGCUGAGCAGCCCAGCACCGGGCAGGAUGAGGACUCCGGUAAAUGGAGCAACACGGAGCAGAGACACGAAGGUUGGAGGAGAGCACUCAGAUCAGCACUGCCAGCCCAUCCCCGGCCGUGCACACUGCCCACGUCCCGCAGCGUCACUCGGAAGGUUUCCUUUUUGUUCCAUGGAUCCGUUCAGUUCCCUGCUUUGUUUUUAAAGAGAAAAAAAAAGAGAAAAUCCUGUCAUUAAUAAAUAAAUAAAUAACAAGAAUAAAAAGCCUCC